rnacentral:rRNA from 1 species
AUAAAUAUAUUCUUACUUUUUUAAUUUAAAUAUUUAAGAGAAAUAUCUUUACUUUUAGUAUAUAAAAGAAAAAAUUAUUGAGGUUAUAGUAAAUUAGUACUGUGAAGGAAUUUGAUGAAAUAUAUUAAAAAUUAUUUAUUAAAAAGUAUACUUAAUUUGUAGUACCUUUUGCAUCAGGGUUAAUCAAAUUUAAUAAUUUAUAUUUCUAUCUCGAUUUCAAAAGAGCUAAUUUAUUAAUUUAGUUAAUGUGUCAUAAUUAUUAAUAAUAUAAAUUAGGUAAGAAAUUUUAUUCGGUUUUGAAGGUAUCUAGUUUUUUAAGAAUUAAAUUUAAUUUAGCUUUCUUAAUUAAUUUUUAUAUUAUAUUAAAAGUUAUUUAGGAAAUUAAAAAUUAUAGGGGAUAAGCUCUAUAUUAUUCUAAAAAUUAUUUUUUAUAUUAAUUUAGUAGGGUUAAAAUUAUCCAUCUUUAAUAAAUGUGUUAUAACUUAUUUUUUUCUGUAUAUGGAUUUUUAUCAUUUUAGAUAAUUAUUAAAAUAUCAUAAUUAACUUUAUAUUUUGAGAAAUAAUGAUUAAAUUAGUAUAAGAUUAUUUUGUUUAUAAAUUAUUAUAAUGAAUAAUAAAAUAAGGAACUCGGCAAAUUUUAGUUCUCGCCUGUUUAACAAAAACAUGUCCUUUUGGGUUGAAUGAAAGGUCUGACCUGCCCAGUGAUGAUUUUAACGGCCGCGGUAUACUGACCGUGCAAAGGUAGCAUAAUCAUUAGUCUUUUAAUAGAGGGCUGGUAUGAAAGGUUUCACGAGGAACUGACUGUCUCAUUUUAUUUGUUUUAAAACUUAAUAUUUUAGUUAAAAAGCUGAAAUUUAUUUGGAAGACGAGAAGACCCUAUAGAUCUUUAUAUUUAUUUAAAUACUCAUUUUUAUAUUAAUAUUAUUAUUUAAAUAAUUAUUUUGUUGGGGUGACAAAAAUAUAAAAUUAACUUUUUUAUUUAAUUAACAUUGAUUUAUGAUUAUUAGAUCCACUAUUAUUGAUUGCUAGACUAAGUUACCUUAGGGAUAACAGCGUAAUCCUUUCCCAGAGUUCAUAUUUACGAAAGGGCUUGCGACCUCGAUGUUGGAUUAAGAUUAUAAUUAGGUGUAGCCGCUUAAUAUAUAGGUCUGUUCGACCUUUAAACU